CCUACGGGGGGCAGCAGUGAGGAAUAUUGGUCAAUGGACGAGAGCCUGAAUCAGCCAAGUAGCGUGAAGGAUGACUGCCCUAUGGGUUGUAAACUUCUUUUAUAUGGGAAUAAAGUGUUCCACGUGUGGGUUUUUGUAUGUACCAUAUGAAUAAGGAUCGGCUAACUCCGUGCCAGCAGCCGAGUUAAUACGGAGGAUCCGAGCGUUAUCCGGAUUUAUUGGGUUUAAAGGGAGCGUAGGUGGUUUGUUAAGUAAGUUGUGAAAUUUUGGGGCUCAACCGUAAAAUUGCAGUGAUACCUGGCAGUCUGAGGUACAGUGGGGGUGGGGGAAAUUCGUGGUGUGGCGUGGAAA
rnacentral:rRNA from 1 species